UACGUAGGGGGCAAGCGUUGUCCGGAUUUAUUGGGCGUAAAGAGCGUGUAGGCGGUUAUGCAGGUCCGCUGUGAAAACUGGAGGCUUAACCUCCAGACGUCGGUGGAAACCGUAUGACUAGAGUCCGGAAGAGGAGAGUGGAAUUCCUGGUGUAGCGGUGAAAUGCGCAGAUAUCAGGAAGAACACCAGUGGCGAAGGCGGGUCUCUGGACAGUUCCUGACGCUGAGGCACGAAGGCCAGGGGAGCAAACGGG
rnacentral:rRNA from 1 species